UAGUAUUUGCGAACAGAAGAUGCCACAAGGCUUAAUAGGGAAUCCGGUAACCAAUCCGGAGCUGCCCCCGCAACUGUACGCAUCCGCGAAAUGGAAGAUUCCACUGUGCCGCGCACGGGAAGGACCAGAGUAAGAUCGGAUGCCAGCCAGGAGACCUAUCUUCGUUCGGCAGAGUUU
rnacentral:ncRNA from 2 species